ACCCGUCUAGCUCAGUCGGUAGAGCGCUGGCCUUUUAAGCCAGUGGUCGUGGGUUCGAUCCCACGGGGGGUG
rnacentral:tRNA from 1 species